UGACCAAUGAUUGGGUUUAACUUAGUGAAAGUCCCUCGGAAGUUAUCGAGAAUUUAUUUCAAUCGGGAGAAAACGACAGUGACGUGAAAAUUUGACUUGUGAAGUUUUGACUUUGACAUAAUGACAUCUGCUGAUCUGAUCAUCAGCUGGUGUGUUUGUUUUUCAAUGUUGUGAUUCUUGUGUUUAUAAAUGAAUUAAUUAGCGCAAAACAAGAAUUGUCACAUUAAAAGAAAAAAGUUGUGUUGUUCAUUGUUAUAUAUUGUAUUUGUAACAUAUUUAAAGAAGUUUGUCAUGGAAAUCAGAAGCGAAGAUUUUCAGUGUCCUAUUUUCGGGUUUGUAGAAGAUAUUAGAGACGAUAAUGUUUUACCGACCUACGAAGAUGUUAUGAAGUGUUACAGAUGGAAUAGAAUACAACUUAGAAUUAUUAGAAAGACUAACAAAGAAGCCGUGAUUUUUAGAUAUUGCUAAGCCAGUGUGUCAAAGAGUAGAAGAAAUUGGAGGAAAUCAUCUCUGCCUAUAGUUUCUCACCAAAUAAUCUUUCAGUUGGUGAAAUUUUACCAUUUAAAAUGUCUGAAACUUAUGAAAACACUGAAAAGACUGACUUAUGAACGCAAAAACCUUUUUGUACAGAAGAGUUAAAGCAUUGUUUGACAUUUGUUAGUGUAAAUGUAAAGAAAUUGAAGUUUGCAGUUGUCCAAUAGAAAUAAGGGUACCAAUAGAAAAGCAGAAGUUUUUGUUGGAGCAAAGACAGGUUAAAAACUUUUUUUUUGUUGGUGUAGACAGUUUUGUUACAGAAAAUUUACCAGUAAACUCAAAGCAAGCUUCAAACAUUUACGACGAAAAAGAAAUUUAUAAAAUGUAAAAACACAAGAUUUAUUGUCAUAUCCAAGUGACUGUGAAGGCAGUAGAUCAUCUAGAAAGCUAAACCCACCUUCCAUUUUACACAGAAAUAAGAAAACAAAAUCAGUGAAACGAUUGCCUACAGUAGCAAAAACAUGCAACCGCUAUGGUAUGUCUGAUGUAGUUGCAGCUGAGAUUGUGUCAGCAGUAUUGCAUGAUAUUUCUUCAGAUUUUCAGCAGCAACACAUCUAUGUUAUUAAGAGAUAAAAAAAGUGUAUUAAUAGUAUCCAAAGAGCAAUUCCAGAAAACUGAUGUGUUAGUAUGAGUCAGUCCAUGACAAAUAUUAUAAUCAGAAGGAUUAAUAAAAGUGACACUGGAGACAAUAAAAGUGAUUUUGUAAUCAAUAAGUGAUAUAUUAUUUUUACAGUAUUUUCUUACAAAUAAAUUUUAGCAAUCACUACAAAUUUUUGCUACCUACUUGUUUUGUUUUCUUUAUAGUUAGUUUAUUUUUAUAGCAUGCCAGUUGCCAUUGGCCAUAAGACAAUAUUAUGUAAUGAUUUGUUCUGUGCCCCUUGAGUAAUUAUUAAAUAA